rnacentral:snRNA from 1 species
UGCUCCUGUCUUGUGAUCAUACACGUAUAAAUCUUUCGCCUUUUACUAAAGAUUUCCGUGGCUGCGGGACAGAAAUGGAGCUAACCCCAAUUUUUUGUCAACCCUAUUUCUUAUUUUCUAGAAGA